UUUUGGACAAUGGGGGCAACCCUGAUCCAGCCAUCCCGCGUGUGCGAUGAAGGCCUUCGGGUUGUAAAGCACUUUUGGCAGUGAAGAAAAGGCGCAGGCUAAUACCCUGUGCUGCUGUCGGUACCUGCAGACUAAGCACCGGCUAACUACUUGCCAGCAGCCGCGGUAAUACGUAGGGUGCAAGCGUUAAUCGGAAUUACUGGGCGUAAAGCGUGCGCGGGCGGUUCGGAAAGAAGGAUGUGAAAACCCGGGGCUUAACCUCGGAAAUGCAUUCUUAACUGCCGGGCUAGAGUAUGUCAGAGGGGGGUAGAAUUCCACGUGUAGCAGUGAAAUGCGUAGAGAUGUGGAGGAAUACCGAUGGCGAAGGCAGCCCCCUGGGAUAAUACUGACGCUCAUGCACGAAAGCGUGGGGAGCAAAC
rnacentral:rRNA from 1 species